GACGAACGCUGGCGGCGUGCUUAACACAUGCAAGUCGAACGGAAAGGCCCUGCUUUUGUGGGGUGCUCGAGUGGCGAACGGGUGAGUAACACGUGAGUAACCUGCCCUUGACUUUGGGAUAACUUCAGGAAACUGGGGCUAAUACCGGAUAGGAGCUCCUGCUGCAUGGGGGGGGUUGGAAAGUUUCGGCGGUUGGGGAUGGACGCGCGGCUUAUCAGCUUGUUGGUGGGGUAGCGGCUUACCAAGGCUUGGACGGGUAGCCGGCCUGGGAGGGUGCCCGGCCACAUUGGGACUGAGAUACGGCCCAGACUCCUACGGGAGGCAGCAGUGGGGAAUAUUGCACAAUGGGCGGAAGCCUAAUGCAGCAACGCCGCGUGCGGGAUGACGGCCUUCGGGUUGUAAACCGCUUUCGCCUGUGACGAAGCGUGAGUGACGGUAAUGGGUAAAGAAGCACCGGCUAACUACGUG
rnacentral:rRNA from 1 species